rnacentral:rRNA from 1 species
GGGUUGUGAGGUUAAGCGACUAAGCGUACACGGUGGAUGCCCUGGCAGUCAGAGGCGAUGAAGGACGUGCUAAUCUGCGAUAAGCGUCGGUAAGGUGAUAUGAACCGUUAUAACCGGCGAUUUCCGAAUGGGGAAACCCAGUGUGAUUCGUCACACUAUCAUUAACUGAAUCCAUAGGUUAAUGAGGCGAACCGGGGAACUGAAACAUCUAAGUACCCCGAGGAAAAGAAAUCAACCGAGAUUCCCCCAGUAGCGGCGAGCGAACGGGGAGCAGCCCAGAGCCUGAAUCAGUGUGUGUGUUAGUGGAAGCGUCUGGAAAGGCGCGCGAUACAGGGUGACAGCCCCGUACACAAAAAUGCACAUGCUGUG